rnacentral:ncRNA from 1 species
ACAGCUUUGGUCCUGGGCUUACCGUUAUUUUUUAUUAAGAUUAUACAUGCAAGCCUCAACAACCCAGUGAAAAUGCCCAAAACCCCUUGAAAGAUAAAAUGGAGCAGGCAUCAGGCACUAUAAUUAAGCCCAUAACGCCUAGCCACGCCACACCCCCACGGGCUCACCAGCAGUAAUAAACAUUGGGCCAUAAGUGAAAACUUGACCCAACUAUAAUAAAUUAGGGCUGGUCAAUUUCGUGCCAGCCACCGCGGUUAUACGAAAGGCCCAAAAUAACGACAAACCGGCGUAAAAUGUGACUAGAGAUCUAUAAUAUUUUAAGUAUUAAAAUUUAUUGGCCUAGUUGUAGAACACUAAGGCAACGAAGAAAACCAACACAAAUACUCUUAAUAUUAUAUUCUUGACCACACGAAAGCUUAGAAACAAACUAGGAUUAGAUACCCUACUAUGCUAAGCCCUGAACAUUGAAAGACUUCAAUACAAUACUUUCCGCCAGAGAACUACAAGUGAAAAACUUGAAACUCAAAGGACUUGACGGUGUCCCAUAUCGGCCUAGAGGAGCCUGUCCUAUAAUCGAUACCCCCCGUUCCACCCAACCCUAACUAGCAAAUAUAUUCAGCCUAUAUACCGCCGUCGACAGUUUACCCUAUGAAGGUCCAACAGUAGACAUAAUAGCCUUUUAACGCUAAUACGUCAGGUCAAGGUGUAGCAAAUGUUAGGGAAGAGAUUGGCUACAUUUUUUACAAUAAAAAAUACGGAUUGCAAUAUGAAACACUGCAUGAAGGUGAAUUUAGUAGUAAAACAGAUAAGAGUGUCUGUUUUAACAACGCUCUGGGACGCGUACACACCGCCCGUCACCCUCCUCAACAAAAUAAAACAACUUUCAUAAACAAAAAUUGCUAAAACCAGAGGAGGCAAGUCGUAACAUGGUAAGCGUACCGGAAGGUGUGCUUGGACUAAC